rnacentral:misc_RNA from 1 species
GAUGAAGAACGCAGCGAAAUGCGAUAAGUAAUGUGAAUUGCAGAAUUCAGUGAAUCAUCGAAUCUUUGAACGCACAUUGCGCCCCCUGGUAUUCCGGGGGGCAUGCCUGUUCGAGCGUCAUUUCACCACUCAAGCCUCGCUUGGUAUUGGGCAACGCGGUCCGCCGCGUGCCUCAAAUCGACCGGCUGGGUCUUCUGUCCCCUAAGCGUUGUGGAAACUAUUCGCUAAAGGGUGUUCGGGAGGCUACGCCGUAAAACAACCCCAUUUCUAAGGUUGACCUCGGAUCAGGUAGGGAUACCCGCUGAACUUAAGCAUAUCCAAUAAGCGGAGGA